rnacentral:rRNA from 1 species
UACGUAGGGUGCAAGCGUUGUCCGGAAUUAUUGGGCGUAAAGAGCUCGUAGGCGGUCUGUCGCGUCUGCUGUGAAAACUCAGGGCUUAACCCUGAGCUUGCAGUGGGUACGGGCAGACUAGAGUGCGGUAGGGGAGACUGGAAUUCCUGGUGUAGCGGUGAAAUGCGCAGAUAUCAGGAGGAACACCGGUGGCGAAGGCGGGGCUCUGGGAAUAUCCUGACGCUGAGGAGCGAAAGUGUGGGGAGCGAACAGG